AACAUUUUUGCUGUUAAAAAGAUAAACUAAGGGAUGUUAAAAAUUUUGAGUUUAUUCGAGCAAAAAUUGAUUGGAAUUAGGCGCUGCCAAACCAAAUGUAGUUAGGAGCACUGAGCCAACAGAAUUCAGGGGAAAGGCUUAUAUAGACAGUGCAGAAGCAGGGAAAGGAAAUUAUUUGAUUGGCUAUAUAUUAAAGUCUAGUUGGCUUUUUGUGAUUGGUUAUCCUUAGCGUUUUGAUAUUGGAACCUUGAGGCAUUUACAGGCUUAGAUUUUGGUUUGCACACAUUGGCCACUGUGGCAUUAGAGCCACCUUGAUCUAACGGCCUCCUUGUCUAAUCAAUUUAACAGACUUGAGGGAUAAAAGGAGCUAACCCCGCAGAGAUCUGGAGAUGGAAGAGAAAGGCUGUGAAGCAAAAGAUGUGCGUGGUAAAGUUGGGAGGAUGGAAGGAGCAGCUGGAAGGAGCCCCCCGUGAAAGAGAAGAAUUGCGGUGGUAGUAAGCAGCAUGUGCUUCCAUAGCACCUUCAUGCCUGGGACGCCGAAGAUUUCAGUCCUGGGUUGCUGUCAUGGUGGUGACGAGUCUCAGAAAUCUCAGAACCAUGGAGCCUGCAUGUGGCUAAGAGCUUGGGCUCUAACCUCAGAGUCUGAACCCCUAUUUUUGCCUAAGGAACGUGGUUUUCCUAGGCUUCAAACCACUCAACAUGUGUGGCCUCCAACAGACCUGAAGCCACGGGUAGGUGGGAUCUUGUCUCAUCUGAAGGGGUUCUUCUGUGACUUAUAGGGAGAUGUUGCAUUCUCCUUAUGUGUAACAUCUGGUCUACUAAUUAAGCUGAUAAUUUUCCAUUGGAUACAGCUUUAACAAGAGAUAUAACCCAAUUUAGUUUCUGUCUUUCUCUUUUGUGGUGGAGAUUUGCUCUUUUGGGAUUGGUUUGUUUGUUUUAGUCUUACCACAAUUACAAGAAAGCAUUUUAUUUUUAUUUUUAUUUUUAUUUUAUUUUAUUUAUUUAUUCGGCAGAGACAGAGACAGCCAGCGAGAGAGGGAACACAAGCAGGGGGAGUGGGAGAGGAAGGAGCUGGCUCAUAGCGGAGGAGCCUGAUGUGGGGCUCGAUCCCAGAACGCCGGGAUCACACCCUGAGCCGAAGGCAGACGCUUAACUGCUGUGCCACCCAGGCGCCCCAAGAAAGCAUUUUUAAAAAUCAUUUUUAAAUUAUUGAACUAUAAUUGACAUACAAUGUUAUAUUAGUUUCGGGUGUAAAACAUGCUGAUUCAACAAUUCUAUAUAUUACAAGAAAGCAUUUUUAUUAGAACUAGUGCUAUACACCUUGUAGCUGGGCCUUUCUAACAUUCUGCAGAGGUGCAAAUGAGCAUUUGUCAAAAACCGGCACUUGUCCAAAGCUGUGCAAGGGAGGGAGCUCAAGUCCAUCUCAUAUACGUAAUUGAGGAACAAAAAGAAGGCCAGUGUUGUUGAGUUUAGGGAAGGAGAUAGGACAAAGAGGUAGGCAGGGACUAGAUCAUUAGGGCCUUGAUAAUCAUGAGAGAUUAAAUUUUAUAGCUAACUGUAAUUGGGAGCCACUGGAAGUCUUAAACAACGACAUGACAAAAUAGGAUAGGUAUUAUAAACGGAUCAAUUUGGAGCUAUAAAUUUUGGGGAAAUAUCUGCUACACAAAUAACUAAAGAAAACUAGUAUUCAGAAUAUAAAAAGUACUCCUAUAGAUCAAUACGAUAAAAGACAAAAAACACAAUUGGAAAAUCAGCAAAAUACUUGAGUCAGC
rnacentral:lncRNA from 1 species